GCGACCCUGGCUCGGCCUCCCAGAGUGCUAGGAUUACAGGCAUGAAGCACCAUGCCCAGCCCCCAGCUUCUUUAAUUCCUCAUCCUCACCUUCUUCUUUACCCAGUAACCUCCCUGCGAGACAACACUCCUAACUUCAAGUCCUCUUCCUUCAAAAGUCACACCUUUUCCCCCCACGCUAUCAAAUCUUCCAUUAUUAUACUUAACCUGUCCUCCAGCUGCUUUUUCUUAAUCUUACUGUGAGGAGUCUUUGGACUCCUUACAUCCACCCACUUACUCUUUCCAAUAGCUCCAGGAUAGACCAUCGUUUUCAGGCUAGUUCCAAAAGCACCCAAGUAUCAAUGCUUAGGAGCCAUCACUGCUGCCCAUCUCAUUUAGAAAUAUAACUAUUAUUGUCAGAUGUGAUUUCUAUUUUUAAGUAAACUCUAGGUACAAUGAGUUAAACCAAUUUUUAUGGGUUGUAUUUUUAAAACAUUUAUAUGGGUAAGUCUCUUCCAAGUUCCAGGCUACUGACUCACAGAUAUGUAUUUAUUAACAAUGUAUAUGAGACACUGUAAAAGAAGCUGGGGAUGACAAGAAAUGAUCCCUUUUCAUUAAAAAAGUCACAAAUAUAUGUAAGAAACAAAUACUUUUAUAAAAUGUGAAAAUUGCUAGUGUAAAAAAUGCUAGAGUACAGGUAUGUACAAAAUACCACGGGAAUACAACAUGAGUUAUCAGCUCUGCCUUAAGUGCUUAGGAAAGAAAGUUUUGCAAAGGAAGUCGCAUCUGAGCUGGGUCUUGAAGAGCUGGAGAUUAGAGGAAGAGAAAAUGGGAUAUUCCCAGGAAGAAUGAGAAGUAUACAGAGUGGUUCAGAUGCUUGAAAAGCAUAGUUUAUUUGAGGAACAGAAACUUCUCUGUUGUAGGAGUGUCGGGGGCUGUUUGUGAGCAUGGUAGGACAGGUAGUUAGAGGUAGAGAAGAAUUUAUCAAGAGGAUUAUUUGUUAUGCAAUAAUUUUUAGACUUUAUCCAGGGAGAAUAAUUAGGAAGUUAUUCAAGGAUUUCUUUUUAGGUCAACAGCCAAAGAUAUAUGUUUUAGAAUAACUAUGACAAAGGAUCAUAUAGACUGGAAAGAAGAAAAUAUGAUAAUAGCAGUUAGAUAAGUUAUAAAAUUAUUACAAUGACCCAUGUGAGAAAAGACAAAAGCAGUGGAGCCAACAAUGAGGGGGAAAAUGAGAGCUAUAUAGUAAGUAGAAUAAUCAAGGUUAAACGAUCAGUUGACCAUGGGAAGAAGAGACAUGAAGAAAAAGGAGUCAUUUAUUCACUCUACAGCAUGUAUUGAGUAUCUUAAAGCAGUUACUGUCUGUUAAGGGUUGGCUAGCUUCAAAACUUCUAGUUUGAACCAAGUGGAAAGUGACACCAUAACUGAGGUAGAAGAGAAAGCAACAGGUUUUUCUGGACCAGUAUAGAUGUUCGUUUUAGGUGGCUGUUACACAUCAUGUUGUGAUUUCUAGUGGGGGAUUGAUAAUAUGUUUAAAGCUCAGGAAAAGAUGGAAACCAGAGAAAAAUUAAAUGAAAAUAUUUUCACAGUUUAAAAACUGAACCUUUUGAAAUAAUAAAACUCAACGAAGGUACAGAUGUAGAGGCAAGUAAAGAAUUAAUACAGGACAUUCAGCCGGCCUUUUGGGGCGACGGACAUUCCGUUCUAGCACCAUGGCUCAAUUUGUCCGUAACCUUGUGGAGAAGGCCCCGGCGCUGGUGAACGCUGCUGUGGCUUAUUCGAAGCCUCAAUUGGCCACAUUUUGGUACUACACCAAGGUUGAGCUGGUUCCUCCAACCCCUGCUGAGAUCCCUAGAGCUUUUCAGAGCCUGAAAAAAAUAGUCAAUAGUGUUCAAACUGGUAGCUACAAACAGCUUACAGUUAAGGAAGCCAUGCUGAAUGGUUUGGUGGCCACUGAGGUGUGGAUGUGGUAUAUGUUGGAGAGAUCAUAGGCAAGCGUGGCAUCAUUGGCUAUGAUGUUUGAAGACCAGUCUUUAACAUCUGAUUAUAUUUGACUUAUUUGAGUAUUCUUGGACCAUGUGUGAUCAGACUGCUAUCUGAAUAAAAUAUGUCAAAAAUCCAAAAAAAAAAAAA